rnacentral:rRNA from 1 species
ACUACGGGAGGCAGCAGUGGGGAAUAUUGGGCAAUGGGCGCAAGCCUGACCCAGCAACGCCGCGUGAAGGAAGAAGGCCUUCGGGUUGUAAACUUCUUUUCUCAGGGAAGAAGCAAGUGACGGUACCUGACGAAUAAGCCACGGCUAACUACGUGCCCGCAUCCGCGCUAAUACGGAGGCGGCAAGAGUUAUCCGGAUUUACUGGUUGUAAAGGGCGUGUAGGCGGGUGUGCAAGUCAGAUGUGAAAACCACGGGGUCAACCUGUGGCUUGCAUUUGACACUGUAUUUCUUGAGUACUGGAGAGGCAGGCGGAAUUCGUGGUGUAGCGGUGAAAUGCGUAGAUAUUAGGAAGAACACCAGUUGCGAAGGCGGUCUACUGGACAGCAACUGACGCUGAGGCGCGAAAGCGUGGGGAGCAAACAGGAUUAGAUACCCUAGUAGUC